rnacentral:rRNA from 1 species
AUGCAUGUCUAAGCACAAGCCGAAUAUGGUGAAGCCGCGAAUGGCUCAUUACAACAGCCUUUGUUUAUUUGAUCUUGAAAUCCUACUUGGAUAACUGUGGCAAUUCUAGAGCUAAUACACGCUUAUAAACUUGUGACUAACGUUACGAGUGCAUUUAUUAGUACAAAACCAAUCGGGCUUCGGCCCGUAGUCUGGUGAAUCUGAAUAACUGAGCCGAUCGCACGGUCUCUGCACCGGCGACGUAUCUUUCAAGUGUCUGCCCUAUCAACUUUCGAUGGUAGUUUAUAUGACUACCAUGGUUAUAACGGGUAACGGAGAAUAAGGGUUCGACUCCGGAGAAGCAGCCUGAGAAACGGCUACUACAUCCAAGGAAGGCAGCAGGCGCGCAAAUUACCCAAUCUCAGCACGAGGAGGUAGUGACGAGAAAUAACGAGGCGGUGCCUCUCUGAGGCCCGCUAUCGGAAUGAGAACAAUUCAAAACCUUUAACGAGGACCUAGCAGUGGGCAAGUCUGGUGCCAGCAGCCGCGGUAAUUCCAGCACUGCUAGUGUAUACCACGAGUACUGCGGUUAAAAAGCUCGUAGUUGGAUCUGCGGCCACGGAUGCGGGUCGGCCCGAUGGGUUCGUACUCGUUAUCUGUGCCUAUUUUGCUGGUUUUCCUUCGAUGCUCUUAACCGGGUGUCGUUGGAGGCUAGCGCGUUUACUUUGAAAAAAUUGGAGUGCUCAGAACAGGCGACCGCCUGAACAGUUGUGCAUGGAAUAAUGGAAUAAGCUCUUGGUCUUAUUUUGUUGGUUUUAGCGAUUGAGAGAAUGAUUAAGAGGGACAGACGGGGGCAUUCGUAUUGCGACGUUAGAGGUGAAAUUCUUGGAUCGUCGCAAGACGGACAACUGCGAAAGCAUUUGCCAAGAAUGUUUUCAUUAAUCAAGAACGAAAGUUAGAGGAUCGAAGGUGAUCAGAUACCGCCCUAGUUCUAACCGUAAACGAUGCCAACUAGCGAUCCGCUGGCGUUGUUCUUGACCCAGUGGGCAGCUUCCCGGAAACGAAAGUCUUCCGGUUCCGUGGGAAGUAUGGUUGCAAAGCUGAAACUUAAAGGAAUUGACGGAAGGGCACCACCAGGAGUGGAGCCUGCGGCUUAAUUUGACUCAACACGGGAAAACUCACCAGGUCAGGAGAUAUUCAGGAUUGACAGGUUGAUUGCCCUUUCAUGAUUGUAUCGCGGGUGGUGCAUGGCCGUUCUUAGUUCGUGGAGUGAUUUGUCUGGUUUAUUCCGAUAACGAACGAGACUCCGACCUGCUAAAUAGCGAGCGGAUAAUCUCGUCCGCAGCGCUUCUUAGAGGGAUAAGCGGCAUCUAGCCGCAUGAAAUGGAGCAAUAACAGGUCUGUGAUGCCCUCAGAUGUCCUGGGCUGCACGCGCGCUACACUGAAGGAAUCAGUGUGCACAUUUCCUUGCCGGACACGGCCGGGUAACCAUGUCAAAAUCCUUCGUGAUUGGGAUAGGAGAUUGCAAUUAUUCUCCUUGAACGAGGAAUUCCCAGUAAAUGCGGGUCAUCAGCCCGCGUUGAUUACGUCCCUGCCCUUUGUACACACCGCCCGUCGCUGCCCGGGACUGAGCCAGUUCGAGAAGAACAGGGACUGCCGACUGGAGUUCUCACGAGCUCUUGUCGUGCGGAAACUGUUUUGAUCGCAUUGGCUUGAACCGGGCAAAAGUCGUAACAAGGUUUCUGUAG